rnacentral:rRNA from 1 species
AGAGUUUGAUCCUGGCUCAGGGUAAACGCUGGCGGCGUGCCUAAAACAUGCAAGUCGAACGCAUGGUUUCGGCCAUGAGUGGCAGACGGCUGAGUAACGCGUGGGUGACGUACCGAUUGGUGGGGAAUAACUGCCCGAAAGGGUGGCUAAUUCCGCAUACGCCUGUGGAUUCGGUUACACAGGGAAAGUCGCAAGACGCC